AUGAGGCUGGAGGAGACCGGCGGGGCUCUGCGAGCGCCCGGCGAGUCCGUGCUCCUCUCCUGCCGCGGGUCCGGGUUCACCUUCGAGAAUCAUCCCAUUUGGUGGUACCGUCAGGCACCCAGAGGCAGACCCGACUGGGUGUCCAUUGACAGCCCUGAUUUCUCUCACGAUGAAUACGGCCCAGCAAUAGAGGGUCGAGCCUUCAUGUUCAGAGACAAGUCCCGGUCCGAGGUUUAUCUGUCCCUGCGGGAGCUGCAGCCCUGGGACUCUGCCCGAUACUCCUGCGCUGCUCUCACGGCGACAGGAAACCCAGCCGAGCUUUAA